rnacentral:rRNA from 1 species
UCUGGCGGUAAUAGCGGGGAGGUAACACCUGUUCCCAUUCCGAACACAGCAGUUA